GUAGGGUGCAAGCGUUAUCCGGAAUUAUUGGGCGUAAAGGGCUCGUAGGCGGUUCGUCGCGUCCGGUGUGAAAGUCCAUCGCUUAACGGUGGAUCCGCGCCGGGUACGGGCGGGCUUGAGUGCGGUAGGGGAGACUGGAAUUCCCGGUGUAACGGUGGAAUGUGUAGAUAUCGGGAAGAACACCAAUGGCGAAGGCAGGUCUCUGGGCCGUCACUGACGCUGAGGAGCGAAAGCGUGGGGAGCGAACAGGAUUAGAUACCCUGGUAGUCCACGCCGUAAACGGUGGAUGCUGGAUGUGGGGACCAUUCCACGGUCUCCGUGUCGGAGCCAACGCGUUAAGCAUCCCGCCUGGGGAGU
rnacentral:rRNA from 1 species